rnacentral:rRNA from 1 species
ACGGGGUGCAGCAGGCGCGAAAACUGGCCAAUGCGCGAAAGCGUGAGCCGGCUAGUCCGAGUGAUAGCCCAUCGGCUAUCUUUUGUCAAGUGUUUAUAGCUUGGCGAAUAAUGAGAGGGCAAGACUGGUGCCGGCCGCCGCGGUAAAACCAGCUCUUAGAGUGGUGAUCAUGUUUAUUUGGCUUAAAGUGUGCGUAGCAGGACAGCGUAAGUCCCCUGUGAAAUGCUCGGUCUUAAGCCGAGCGCGGGCAGGGGAUACUGUGCGUCUUGGGACCGGGAUAGGUGUAAUGUACGCGUUGGGUAGGGGUGAAAUCCGAUAAUCCAACGCGGACAACCGGUGGCGAAGGCGUUACACUGGAACGGGUCCGACUGUGAGGCACGAAAGCUAGGGUCGCGAGCCGGAUUAGAUACCCGGGUAGUCCUAUGCCGUAAACGAUGCUCACUAAGUGUUAGAUAAUGCAAGACAUUGUCUAGUGCCGAAGCGAAAGCGUUAAGUGAGCCGCCUGGGAAGUACGUUCGCAAGAAUGAAACUUAAAGGAAUUGGCGGGGGCCUACUACAAGAAGUGGAGCCUGCGGUUUAAUUGGACUCAACUCCGGGAAGCUCACCUGGGCC